rnacentral:rRNA from 1 species
GAGUUUGAUCCUGGCUCAGAAGGAACGCUGGCAGCGUGCAUAACACAUGCAAGUCGAACGCGAAAGAAUCCUUCGGGAUUUGGACGAGUGGCGAACGGGUGAGGAACACGUAAGAAUCUACCUUUCGGUUGGGGAUAACUUCUGGAAACGGGAGCUAAUACCCAAUAUGCUGUGGAGUGAAAGAAUUUCGCCGAGAGACGAUCUUGCGUCUGAUUAGCUUGUUGGGGUGGUAAUGGCACACCAAGGCGACGAUCAGUAGCUGGUCUGAGAGGAUGGACAGCCACAUUGGGACUGAGACACGGCCCAAACUCCUACGGGAGGCAGCAGUGGGGAACCUUGCACAAUGGAGGAAACUCUGAUGCAGCGAUGCCGCGUGAGUGAAGAAGGCCUUUGGGUUGUAAAGCUCUUUCGUCGGGGAAGAAAAUGACUGUACCCGAAUAAGAAGGUCCGGCUAACUUCGUGCCAGCAGCCGCGGUAAUACGAAGGGACCUAGCGUAGUUCGGAAUUACUGGGCUUAAAGAGUUCGUAGGUGGUUGAAAAAGUUGGUGGUGAAAUCCCAGAGCUUAACUCUGGAACUGCCAUCAAAACUUUUCAGCUAGAGUAUGAUAGAGGAAAGCAGAAUUUCUAGUGUAGAGGUGAAAUUCGUAGAUAUUAGAAAGAAUACCAAUUGCGAAGGCAGCUUUCUGGAUCAUUACUGACACUGAGGAACGAAAGCAUGGGUAGCGAAGAGGAUUAGAUACCCUCGUAGUCCAUGCUGUAAACGAUGUGUGUUAGACGUUGGAAAUUUAUUUUCAGUGUCGCAGGGAAACCGAUAAACAGACCGCCUGGGGAGUACGGUCGCAAGGUUAAAACUCAAAUGAAUUGACGGGGACCCGCACAAGUAGUGGAGCAUGUGGUUUAAUUCGAAGAUACGCGCAGAACCUUACCAACACUUGACAUGUUCGUCGCGACUCUAAGAGAUUAGAGUUUUCGGUUCGGCCGGACGAAACACAGGUGCUGCAUGGCUGUCGUCAGCUCGUGUCGUGAGAUGUUGGGUUAAGUCCCGCAACGAGCCCAACCCUCGCCUUUAGUUGCCAUCAUUUAGUCGGGCACUCUAAAGGAACUGCCGGGGAUAAGCAGGAGGAAGGUGGGGAUGACGUCAAGUCCUCAUGGCCCUUACGUCCAGGGCUGCACACGUGCUACAAUGGCCGGCACAAUGGGCUGCGAAACGGCAACGUUAAGCAAAUCCCGAAAAGACGUCUCAGUUCGGAUUGUACUCUGCAACUCGAGUGCAUGAAGGUGGAAUCGCUAGUAAUCGUGGAUCAGCAUGCCGCGGUGAAUACGUUCCCGGGUCUUGUACACACCGCCCGUCACACCAUGGGAGUUGGUUCUACCUUAAGGCAAGGUUUUAAACCCUUGACCACGGUAUAGUCAGCGACUGGGGUGAAGUCGUGGCAAGGUAACC